ACUCUUAUGGUGAUAUAAUCUCAUGGUUUAGGUGGUGACUUUCAUUGCACAUUGAAAGAGCACUGCUUUAAGGUCCGCUCAUGUAGUGGAGCCUACAUCAUAAUUUAUGGUAGCGGGAGCCUGUGUUCGCGCGACCCUUUC
rnacentral:snRNA from 10 species